CAGCCGCCACGGUAAUACGUAGGUCCCGAGCGUUGUCCGGAUUUAUUGGGCGUAAAGCGAGCGCAGGCGGUUUGAUAAGUCUGAAGUUAAAGGCUGUGGCUCAACCAUAGUUCGCUUUGGAAACUGUCAAACUUGAGUGCAGAAGGGGAGAGUGGAAUUCCAUGUGUAGCGGUGAAAUGCGUAGAUAUAUGGAGGAACACCGGUGGCGAAAGCGGCUCUCUGGUCUGUAACUGACGCUGAGGCUCGAAAGCGUGGGGAGCGAACAGGAUUAGAUACCCCUGUAGUCCCUGUCUCUUAUACC
rnacentral:rRNA from 1 species